CGCUAGUCGUUGUGCUGCGAGCCUUCGCUCGCGGUAAUGCGGCCAUUAUCUCGGCCGGCGGCAGUGAGUGUUCGCGGAGUGUCUCUUGCUCUGCGCCGUCGCGCUGACGAGAGUCGGCCCACCGCUGUGCCCGGAGUGCAAGGCCGCGAAGUUGUAAGCGAAACCCUGCCGGACGCCGGCGCGGCCUCUCCCACUUCUCCUCGUGCGACAAACUGGAGUGUCCGCGCUGCGUCUGCUCCUGGUGAGGGGGCGGCGGAUCGUGCGCAGGCUAUUCGUUCAACACACGACCACCUUUCAUUCCAGGCGAGGGGUCAACGCCCCGGCCCAAAUGCUGAAGGGUCGCAACGCAGAUCUCAGCUGCGGCAGCAUCGCCGACGUUCUUCUCGCACAGCCUUUACUGAUGACGAGCACUUGAGGCCAGGGGAGGCGGUGAAUGAGCGAUGCCCCAGAGCCUCGGUGAUGCUACCUGCGGUGCACCCCGGGGCCGACCUUCCGCCCCUCCCACAGCGCGCGCUCGCAGAAAAGCGCACGGGCAAGUUUUCGUUUGUCAGCGAUCCCAGUCAGCGUUCUAGUCGCGACGUUUACGGCCACGAGGUGCCGAAUAACACACCGAAGCCAAAGUUGCCGAUGUGGGCCUCGAGCCUGACCUCCCCGGCGCUGGGCAAGGUGCGGCUGACGGAGGAGUCGUGGAUCUCGCUGGACGCGCGGGGUGUGCUGGGCGAAGAUGUCACCGCGCAGUUUGUGCGUUGGCUGCACGAAAGUGUCCUGCCCGCGAACUCGGUUCUGAGAGAGCAGCUGGAGACAAACGUGCUGCUGGACCUGCGCCUCGCCACGGCACGCGGCGUGUACGCAAAGAAGGCCUUCAAGCGAGGGGAUGUGGUGCUCACGAUCCCCCUCUUGUCGGCCACCCCAAGCGACGCCCCAAGCUGCACAGCGUGGCUUUGCUUAAACAGUGAGACGCUGGCGAAGUACUCCACAGCUGCCCAGCAGCGAGUCGGACUACCGUCGUACGACACGGUCAAGCAGGUCCUCUCCGUGCGGCAAUCUUCCUUCGAUCCGAUUCCGCAUCCCCUCUUCCUCGAUCAGGUCUGCGCAGCGCUGCUGCUUGCGUGUGAGAAGGCAGACGGCGCGGCAAGUCCGCUUUACCCGUAUCUGCGGCUGCUGGACUCCGCGGAGCUCUUUGAAGACGAGACCAUCAAGGAGUUGCACCUUGGCGUGCUGGAGCCGACGACCCACAUGGAGUACGACGAGCACGUGAAGAGGUUUCGGCAUUACAUGCGGAAGCUUCACGCGGUCUGGUGGGCGGCGUACGAAUCAGCAACAGGGCGAGGACCGGGUGCGGACGUUGCAGGUGCGGCGGGGGAUAGAGCCGAUACUACCGAUGCGCUUGCCUCAUCGGUGCCGAUUCUGCGCAUUGAUGGGGAGGACAGCGCAGCCUCUGUCACCGUCGACACAGAGGGCAGACGUUAUCAAGACGUCGGUAACAUGACUGUGGUGCCCGCCGACGCGAAAGUGUCAGGUGCCGACGCCUCUGCGGCUCGGAUGGCAUGGAAGCCGCCGCCGUCGCUGGAAGACAUGGCGUGGGCCCUUCGUGUCCUCUUAUCUCGCCAAAAGACACUACCGCAUCUCCGCGUCGACAGGGCCGCCUUCGAGCGUGUGCAAGAAGAGAGCAUCGAGGGCGAGGUGCUGGACGCGUUUGGAAGAGCUGUGAUGAAGGGCAAAUACGCCUUCUACCAACACGUCUUGCGUGCCAUCGACGAGGACCGGCUACACGUGAAUGAAGUGGACCCCACGGCAAUACCCACCAUUGUGCCGCUGUUGGACAUGGUGAGUCAUCCUCCCGGCGGCGUCCCGAAUGUGUCGUUCACCGUGGAGAGAGUAGAGAGGACGGGGGGACGCAGUGGUAGCACCACAGAAGUCGGCACAAGUCCUCAUCGCGGUGACUUGGCGAGCGGUAAGCCCAACAGUGCAUCUCCAUCUUACCAGGUGGUGGUGCGCGCCACGGACGACAUCGAGGAGGAUGAGGAGCUCACCGUCUCCUACGUCAAGUGCUACAGCGUUGCCUAUACUCUUUACCGCUACGGCUUCCUGCCGCUGUCGCGACGUGAGGACGAUGUGGCGACGCUUCUUCAAGCGAACAACGUCGAUGGAAAUCUUCGACCUGCGCCUAAAAGCGGCUCCUCUCCAUCAUCUCUGUCGAAGGAAGGCGUGAUGUGGGCUCUGAGGCGCUGGUGGCCUUCCAUGUUUGCUACGUGACGCUUGUCAUGGGACUGUGUAUGGAUCCUUGUGGCGCUGUUAUCGAAGGGCUUCAGUGCCCCCAUUUCCCUGCCCCCCACUCUGUACGUGGGCGGAAGCCAAGCAGCCCUCCUCCCCUCCAUCCCCCUGCCAGGCGCUGAGCUACUUCUGGUGGUGGCAGGGCGGCGCACCUACCUACGUAGGGAGAGGUCAGAGCGAUGCACGGUUACUGACGUCGGCAGUGAGGCCCUGACUGGCGUCGCGUCGAAGGGACCUGCGACAGUGGACGCGCUUGUGCCAUCGAUGUGAUGGGCAGGGUGUGCCAGCUUGACUCGGGCGUAUUUUACCCAGCCGCUGCUGCCCUGCUGGUGUGGGGCGUCCGCGUUUCACCCAGAGAGAGGUGCAAGGCGUGACUGCCGGCUUGAGGAGGGAGCGGCUGUGAGGUGUGGCGUGGGCAGCGCUUGAAGCGGAGACCGUGCUCCGAUGGCUGAGUCGGCGCACUGCUGUAAGGCGUGUGUCUACGAGCGCUUCUCCGCACCAGGCGAUGGGGGGCUGUGGCAGUCCGGGUGGAGUUUGGCUCACGUUGUACGGCGGAAUGGACAAGCUCACGAAAAGCGCUUUACAUCCCGUCGCGAAUCUUUUUUUGCUUUUUUUUUGCUUUCUUGUAGGGUGUCUCAGCUGUUUCAGUCGGGCGGCUUCUGGCCACGGCGUACGGGUAUAUGUGUGCGUGCGGGGCGUGGUAGCUCUCUUCCCUCCCUCUGAUGUUGCGGAGGAUGUGAAGUGGUUUCACCACGUUGUCUCUGAGUUCAAGUCAGUCCCAACCCGACCAGUAGUUUCCAUCAUCACAGCCACUGGGCGAGGUAUGAGGGAUAAGGAAGGGUGGGCCCUACACUUCCGUAUGCGCG
rnacentral:misc_RNA from 1 species